GACGGAUGGGGCUAGCGUUAUUCGGAAUUACUGGGCGUAAAGGGCGCGUAGGCGGUCAAAUAAGUUAGGCGUGAAAGCCCUGGGCUUAACCUAGGAACUGCGCUUAAUACUGUUUGGCUAGAGUUUGGUAGAGGAAAGCGGAAUUCCUAGUGUAGAGGUGAAAUUCGUAGAUAUUAGGAAGAACACCAGAGGCGAAGGCGGCUUUCUGGACCAAUACUGACGCUGAGGCGCGAAAGCGUGGGGAGCAAACAGG
rnacentral:rRNA from 1 species